GCCUUCGUGGUGAAGUGGUCGGCACACACGACGCCCAUUCGAGAAAUCCGUGGUUCGAGUCCCGACGAGGGCA
rnacentral:tRNA from 1 species